CCUACGGGUGACAGCAGUGAGGAAUAUUGGUCAAUGGACGAGAGCCUGAACCAGCCAAGUAGCGUGAAGGAUGACUGCCCUAUGGUUUGUAAACUUCUUUUAUAUGGGAAUAAAAUGUUCCACGUGUGGGAUUUUGUAUGUACCAUAUGAGUAAGGAUCGGCUAACUCCGUGCCAGCAGCCGCGGUAAUACGGAGGAUCCGCGCGUUAUCCGGAUUUAUUGGGUUUAAGGGGUGCGUAGGUGGAUUUUUAAGUCAGUUGUGAAAGUUUGCGGCUCAACCGUAAAAUUGCAGUUGAAACUGGGAGUCUUGAGUACAGGAGAGGUAGGCGGAAUUCGUGGUGUAGCGGUGAAAUGCUUAGAUAUCACGAAGAACUCCGAUGGCGAAGGCAGCCCGCUGGACUGCAACUGACGCUGAGGCUCGAAAGUGUGGGUAUCAAACAGGAUUAGAUACCCUUGUAGUC
rnacentral:rRNA from 1 species